UACGAGCGGCCCAAACGUUAUUCGGAAUUACUGGGCUUAAAGAGUUCGUAGGCGGCAUGAAAAGUAGGGUGUGAAAGCCCUCGGCUCAACCGAGGAAUUGCGCUCUAAACUGUCGUGCUCGAGGAAUCUAGAGGUGAGCGGAACUGAUGGUGGAGCGGUGAAAUGCGUUGAUAUCAUCAGGAACACCGGAGGCGAAGGCGGCUCACUGGGGAUUUUCUGACGCUGAGGAACGAAAGCCAGGGGAGCGAACGGG
rnacentral:rRNA from 1 species